rnacentral:antisense_RNA from 1 species
CUACAAAGGCUGGUAUAGCAUUUACAACACUUACAUGAGGAUAUAUAG